rnacentral:rRNA from 1 species
CCUACGGGCGGCUGCAGUGGGGAAUAUUGGGCAAUGGGGGCAACCCUGACCCAGCGACGCCGCGUGGGGGAAGACGGCCUUCGGGUUGUAAACCUCUUUUGUACGGGAAGAAGGAAGUGACGGUACUGUACGAAUAAGUCCCGGCUAACUACGUGCCAGCAGCCGCGGUAAUACGUAGGGGACGAGCGUUGUCCGGAAUUACUGGGCGUAAAGGGCGCGCAGGCUGUGCUGCAAGUCAGCUGUUAAAUGUCUGGGCUUAACCCGGGCAUGCGGUUGAGACUGCGGUGCUGGAGUGCUGUAGAGGCAAGUGGAAUUCCCAGUGUAGCGGUGAAAUGCGUAGAUAUUGGGAAGAACACCGGUGGCGAAGGCGACUUGCUGGGCAGCAACUGACGCUGAGGCGCGAAAGCCAGGGGAGCAAACGGGCUUAGAUACCCUGGUAGUC